rnacentral:rRNA from 1 species
GCUUAUCACCAUUCCAGAUUGAAUAUACCCGAUCUCGUCUGAUCUCUGAAGUCAAGCAAUCUCGGUCUUGGUUAGUACUUGGAUGGGUGACCGCUUGGGAAUACCAAGUGUGAUAAGCA